rnacentral:rRNA from 1 species
GCUUACCAUGCAAGUUCGAGGGGCAGCAUUUCAGUUUGCUUGCAAACUGGAGAUGGCGACCGGCGCACGGGCUGAGUAACACGCUAUCCNACCUGCCGAUAACUCGGGGAUAGCCUUUCGAAAGAAAGAUUAAUACCCGAUGGUAUAAUCAGACCGCAUGGUCUUGUUAUUAAAGAAUUUCGGUUAUCGAUGGGGAUGCGUUCCAUUAGGCAGUUGGUGAGGUAACGGCUCACCAAACCUUCGAUGGAUAGGGGUUCUGAGAGGAAGGUCCCCCACAUUGGAACUGAGACACGGUCCAAACUCNUACGGGAGGCAGCAGUGAGGAAUAUUGGUCAAUGGGCGCAGGCCUGAACCAGCCAAGUAGCGUGAAGGAUGACUGCCCUAUGGGUUGUAAACUUCUUUUAUAUGGGAAUAAAGUUUUCCACGUGUGGAAUUUUGUAUGUACCAUAUGAAUAAGGAUCGGCUAACUCCGUGCCAGCAGCCGCGGUAAUACGGAGGAUCCGAGCGUUAUCCGGAUUUAUUGGGUUUAAAGGGAGCGUAGGUGGACAGUUAAGUCAGUUGUGAAAGUUUGCGGCUCAACCGUAAAAUUGCAGUUGAUACUGGCUGUCUUGAGUACAGUAGAGGUGGGCGGAAUUCGUGGUGUAGCGGUGAAAUGCUUAGAUAUCACGAAGAACUCCGAUUGCGAAGGCAGCUCACUGGACUGCAACUGACACUGAUGCUCGAAAGUGUGGGUAUCAAACAGGAUUAGAUACCCUGGUAGUCCACACAGUAAACGAUGAAUACUCGCUGUUUGCGAUAUACAGUAAGCGGCCAAGCGAAAGCAUUAAGUAUUCCACCUGGGGAGUACGCCGGCAACGGUGAAACUCAAAGGAAUUGACGGGGGCCCGCACAAGCGGAGGAACAUGUGGGUUAAUUCGAUGAUACGCGAGGAACCUUACCCGGGCUUAAAUUGCAUUUGAAUAUAUGGGAAACAGUAUAGCCGUAAGGCAAAUGUGAAGGUGCUGCAUGGUUGUCGUCAGCUCGUGCCGUGAGGUGUCGGCUUAAGUGCCAUAACGAGCGCAACCCUUAUCUUUAGUUACUAACAGGUCAUGCUGAGGACUCUAGAGAGACUGCCGUCGUAAGAUGUGAGGAAGGUGGGGAUGACGUCAAAUCAGCACGGCCCUUACGUCCGGGGCUACACACGUGUUACAAUGGGGGGUACAGAAGGCAGCUACCUGGUGACAGGAUGCUAAUCCCAAAAGCCUCUCUCAGUUCGGAUCGAAGUCUGCAACCCGACUUCGUGAAGCUGGAUUCGCUAGUAAUCGCGCAUCAGCCAUGGCGCGGUGAAUACGUUCCCGGGCCUUGUACACACCGCCCGUCAAGCCAUGAAAGCCGGGGGUACCUGAAGUACGUAACCGCAAGAGCUCCUAGGAA